CCUACGGGAGGCUGCAGUGGGGGAUAUUGCACAAUGGGGGAAACCCUGAUGCAGCGACGCCGCGUGUAGGAAGACGGCCCUCUGGAUUGUAAACUACUGUCCCCAGGGAUGAAGAUGACGGUAGCAGAGGCGGAAUCUCCGGCUCACUACGUGCCAGCAGCCGCGGUAAUACGGAGGGAGCAAGCGUUGUCCGGAUUUACUGGGUGUAAAGGGUGCGUAGGCGGCCCUGCAAGUCAGAAGUGAAAUCCCUGGGCUUAACCCGGGAACUGCUUUUGAAACUGUAGGGCUUGAGUGAUGUCGAGGCAGGCGGAAUUCCCGGUGUAGCGGUGAAAUGCGUAGAGAUCGGGAGGAACACCAGUGGCGAAGGCGGGCGGCUGGGGUUUAACUGACGCUGAAGCACGAAAGCGUGGGUAGCAAACAGGAUUAGAUACCCGAGUAGUC
rnacentral:rRNA from 1 species